rnacentral:rRNA from 1 species
ACGUCAAAUCAUCAUGCCCCUUAUGUUCUGGGCUACACACGUGCUACAAUGGCCGGUACAGCGAGACGCAAGGCCGCGAGGCGGAGCAAAUCUCAAAAACCGGUCCCGGUUCGGAUUGCAGGCUGAAACCCGCCUGCAUGAAGUCGGAGUUGCUAGUAAUCGUGAAUCAGCAUGUCACGGUGAAUACGUUCCCGGGCCUU